ensembl:lncRNA
UUGUGACCUCAUGGAAUGUAGCCCACCAGGCUCCUCUGUCCAUGGGGAUUCUCCAGCAAGAACCCUGGAGUGGGUUGCCAUGCCCUUCUGCAGGGGAUCUUUCCAAACCAGGGAUUGAACCCAGGUUUCCCACACUGCAGGCAGAUUCUUUACUGUCUGAGCCACCAGGGAAGACCAUGCAUAGUAGAGUGGGUAGCCUAUCCCCUCUACAGCGAAACUUACCGACCCAGGAACAGAGCCGGCGUCUCCUGCAUUGCAGGAAGAUUCUUUAGCAGCUGAGCUACCUGGGAAGCCUCACAAUAUCCUACACAGGAGUAACUGUAAUUACUAGGUGAUGCUCCAGGGAAGGAGUUCCAGGUUGGCAGAGAAUCUCCUGCAAGCAGUGAUUCAGAGUCCCAGGCUGAACAACCAUCUUUAUCACACAGCUUCCAAAGGUACCCUGCUCUCACCACUGGAGCCCACAGAAUGGGAGGUAGAGUUUCUUCAUUUGUCUGCACUGUAUCAGGCCUGUUCUUGAUAAGAAUCGUCAAAGUACGUGCAAGUUUCUGGCAUAAGCAAUGAGCAAAGGGAAGGCCUAGGACAGAGCCCAGUAGCGCAUCAUCAGAAGACUUCUCCAGUGGUCCAAGUCUUCAUUGUUGUUGAUUUUUCCCAGCAGAUCUCAGAAAUUGCAAUAGAAGAAAGAAUUUGGAUUGGCUCCAGGGUUAUCAAUAAAAUAUGAUUUGAGGGUAUUUUUGAAGGAGUAAGUAAAAAUCAUGGACUUGGAGGUUUUGACCGAAUAGAAAAAUUCCUGACAGAGAAAAUGCAGAGCUUUGUUAUUUUAUUUUUGACUUUUCUACGUGUGAGAAGGACAUCCACUCUGGAAACAGCAGAAUACUACUGAAGCCCAAGAUAAAAGGGAAGAUUUUUAUGAGCACAAAGAGUUUUCAAGUGAAUGUAUGUUGCCUGUUCCAGAAAAGAAAAGAAUUUAGGAUUGAUUCAUAUCUGGAGUCUCACUGCCUGUAUUGAAAUGCCAGUUUUUGUGACAGUGGCCAAAUUAUUUAAACUCUCUGUAUCUGUGCUUUCCUUUCUAUAAAGUGAGGAUAAUAGCUGUAAUUUACUCCAGAGUGUUAUUAUAAGGAUUAACUGAGUUAAAUCAUGAAAUGCACAGAUCGAUGCUUACCCAGUAAGUACUUAGUAAGUGCCCAUUUUUAUUACUAAUAUUGAUUUGUUAUUAUCAUAGGCUAGAGGAAUAAAGAAUUUCCAAAUGAAGAGUUCACUAUACUAACAAAAACUGUGAUUUUGUUUCUUAAAAUAUCCAUUCAGAGUCUGAAUACUUCAAAAAAUUUU